UUUCCGUAGGUGAACCUGCGGAAGGAUCAUUAAUGAGUUGUCAUGGGGUUCGAUGCUGGCAGCCAAUUUUUGGAUGCAUGUGCUUGCCCUAACAAUCAUCUUCCAAACACCUGCGCACAUUUUUGAGGGAGUCUUGAGUUGGUUGCCGCUCUUGGGUGAUUUUCUCACAUUCCCUUAAAUCAUUAUACGCUAUUAACAAUGUUGAACGUGCUCUGUGCCGCAAGGCUAUUAAUAUAAUACAACUUUUAACAACGGAUCUCUUGGCUCUC
rnacentral:misc_RNA from 1 species